rnacentral:rRNA from 1 species
CUACGGGUGGCUGCAGUGGGGAAUAUUGCACAAUGGGCGCAAGCCUGAUGCAGCCAUGCCGCGUGUAUGAAGAAGGCCUUCGGGUUGUAAAGUACUUUCAGCGGGGAGGAAGGGAGUAAAGUUAAUACCUUUGCUCAUUGACGUUACCCGCAGAAGAAGCACCGGCUAACUCCGUGCCAGCAGCCGCGGUAAUACGGAGGGUGCAAGCGGUAAUCGGAAUUACUGGGCGUAAAGCGCACGCAGGCGGUUUGUUAAGUCAGAUGUGAAAUCCCCGGGCUCAACCUGGGAACUGCAUCUGAUACUGGGAAGCUUGGGUCUCGUAGAGGGGGGUAACAUUCCAGGUGUAGCGGUGAUAUGCGUAGAGAUCUGGAGGAAUACCGGUGGCGAAGGCGGACCCCUGGGCGAAGACUGAAGCUCAGGUGCGAAAGCGUGGGGAGCAAACAGGAUUAGAUACCCCGGUAGUC